AGGAAUCUGCCUAUUAGUGGGGGACAACAUCUCGAAAGGGAUGCUAAUACCGCAUACGUCCUACGGGAGAAAGCAGGGGAUCACUUGUGACCUUGCGCUAAUAGAUGGGCCUAAGUCGGAUUAGCUAGUUGGUGGGGUAAAGGCCUACCAAGGCGACGAUCUGUAGCGGGUCUGAGAGGAUGAUCCGCCACACUGGGACUGAGACACGGCCCAGACUCCUACGGGAGGCAGCAGUGGGGAAUAUUGGACAAUGGGGGGAACCCUGAUCCAGCCAUGCCGCGUGUGUGAAGAAGGCCUUAUGGUUGUAAAGCACUUUAAGCGAGGAGGAGGCUCUUUUGGUUAAUACCCAGAAUGAGUGGACGUUACUCGCAGAAUAAGCACCGGCUAACUCUGUGCCAGCAGCCGCGGUAAUACAGAGGGUGCAAGCGUUAAUCGGAUUUACUGGGCGUAAAGCGCGCGUAGGCGGCCAAUUAAGUCAAAUGUGAAAUCCCCGAGCUUAACUUGGGAAUUGCAUUCGAUACUGGUUGGCUAGAGUGUGGGAGAGGAUGGUAGAAUUCCAGGU
rnacentral:rRNA from 1 species